ACUGCUAUCGGUGUUCGCCUAAGCCAUGCGAGUCAUAUGUAGCAAUACAUGGCGUACUGCUCAGUAACACGUGGAUAACCUGCCCUUGGGUCCGGCAUAACCCCGGGAAACUGGGGAUAAUUCUGGAUAACGCAUUUAUGCUGGAAUGCUUUCUGCGUAAAAUGGAUUCGUCUGCCCAAGGAUGGGUCUGCGGCCUAUCAGGUAGUAGUGGGCGUAAUGUACCUACUAGCCUACGACGGGUACGGGUUGUGAGAGCAAGAGCCCGGAGAUGGAUUCUGAGACAUGAAUCCAGGCCCUACGGGGCGCAGCAGGCGCGAAAACUUUACAAUGCGGGAAACCGUGAUAAGGGGACACCGAGUGCCAGCAUCAUAUGCUGGCUGUCCAGGUGUGUAAAAUACACCUGUUAGCAAGGGCCGGGCAAGACCGGUGCCAGCCGCCGCGGUAACACCGGCGGCCCGAGUGGUGAUCGUGUUUAUUGGGUCUAAAGGGUCCGUAGCCUGUUUGGUCAGUCCUCCGGG
rnacentral:rRNA from 1 species